rnacentral:rRNA from 1 species
UAGUCAUAUGCUUGUCUCAAAGAUUAAGCCAUGCAUGUCUAAGCACAAGCCGAUUAAUGGUGAAGCCGCGAAUGGCUCAUUACAACAGCCAUAGUUUCUUAGAUCUUACUUUUCUACUUGGAUAACUGUGGUAAUUCUAGAGCUAAUACACGCAAACAAGCUCAGACCUUACGGAAUGAGCGCAUUUAUUAGAACAAAAACCAAUCGGGCUUCGGUCCGUCAUUUGGUGAAUCUGAAUAACUUUGCUGAUCGCACGGUCUUCGUACCGGCGACAUAUCUUUCAAAUGUCUGCCUUAUCAACUUUCGAUGGUAGUUUAUGCGCCUACCAUGGUUGUAACGGGUAACGGAGAAUAAGGGUUCGACUCCGGAGAGGGAGCCUGAGAAACGGCUGCCACAUCCAAGGAAGGCAGCAGGCACGCAAAUUACCCACUCCCGGCACGGGGAGGUAGUGACGAAAAAUAACGAGACGGUUCGCUAUGCGGUCCGUCAUCGGAAUGGGUACAAUUUAAAUCCUUUAACGAGGAUCUAUU